ACAUCGGAAUCUACUUUUUCGUGGGGGAUAACGUAGGGAAACUUACGCUAAUACCGCAUACGACCUACGGGUGAAAGCAGGGGAUCUUCGGACCUUGCGCGAUUGAAUGAGCCGAUGUCGGAUUAGCUAGUUGGCGGGGUAAAGGCCCACCAAGGCGACGAUCCGUAGCUGGUCUGAGAGGAUGAUCAGCCACACUGGAACUGAGACACGGUCCAGACUCCUACGGGAGGCAGCAGUGGGGAAUAUUGGACAAUGGGCGCAAGCCUGAUCCAGCCAUACCGCGUGGGUGAAGAAGGCCUUCGGGUUGUAAAGCCCUUUUGUUGGGAAAGAAAUCCAGCUGGUUAAUACCCGGUUGGGAUGACGGUACCCAAAGAAUAAGCACCGGCUAACUUCGUGCCAGCAGCCGCGGUAAUACGAAGGGUGCAAGCGUUACUCGGAAUUACUGGGCGUAAAGCGUGCGUAGGUGGUCGUUUAAGUCUGUUGUGAAAGCCCUGGGCUCAACCUGGGAACUGCACUGGAAACUGGACAACUAGAGUGUGGUAGAGGGUAGCGGAAUUCCCGGUGUAACACUGAGAUGCGUACAGAUCA
rnacentral:rRNA from 1 species